UACGUAGGGGGGCAAGCGUUUGUCCGGAUUUAUUGGGCGUAAAGAGCGUGUAGGCGGCUGGGUAGGUCCGUUGUGAAAACUCGAGGCUCAACCUCGAGACGCCGAUGGAAACCCUCCAGCUAGAGUCCGGAAGAGGAGAGUGGAAUUCCUGGUGUAGCGGUGAAAUGCGCAGAUAUCAGGAGGAACACCGAUGGCGAAGGCAGCUCGCUGGGACGGUACUGACGCUGAGGCGCGAAAGCGUGGGGGAGCAAACAGGG
rnacentral:rRNA from 1 species